AGUGAACGCUGGCGGUAGGCCUAACACAUGCAAGUCGAACGGCAGCACAGUAAUAGCUUGCUCUUACGGGUGGCGAGUGGUGGACGGGUGGGGAAUACAUCGGAAUCUACUUUUUCGUGUGGGUUAACGUAGGGAAACUUACGCUAAUACCGCAUACGACCUACGGUUGAAAGCAGGGGAUCUUCGGACCUGGCUGAAAUGAAUGAGCCGAUGUCGGAUUAGCUAGUUGGCGGGGUAAAGGCCCACGGGGGCGAGCAUCCGUAGCUGGUACGAGAGGAAGAUGCGACAGCCUGGAACUGAGAGACGGUCCAGACUCCUACGGGAGGCAGCAGUGGGGAAUAUUGGACAAUGGGGGCAAGCCUGAUCCAGCACUACCGCGUAGGUGAAGAAGGCCUUAGGGUUGUAAAGCCCUUUUGUUGGGAAAGAAAAGCAGCAGGUUAAUACCCCGCUGUUCUGACGGUACCCAAAGAAUAAGCACCGGCUAACUUCGUG
rnacentral:rRNA from 1 species